rnacentral:rRNA from 1 species
CCAAAGUCCAAGCGUGGCAAUGAUGCUAUAUUCGUUGUCAUCGACAAACUCACCAAAGUGGCUCACUUUCUGCCUAUCAAAGAGUCGAUCACUGCAGCUCAAUUGGCGGAACUCUACACCUCGCGUAUUGUCUCUCUGCACGGUAUUCCUCAAGUGAUCUCUUCAGACCGUGGCAGCAUCUUUACCUCCAAGUUUUGGGAUUCUUUCCAGAAGGCCAUGGGCACGAACAUCCGUUUCAGCACAACUUUCCAUCCUCAAACAAGCGGUCAAGUUGAGCGUGUCAACCAGAUUCUUGAAGAUAUGCUCAGGGCUUGUGUGAUCUCCUUCGGCAUGAAGUGGGAGGAUUGUCUUCCUUAUGCUGAAUUCUCCUACAACAACAGUUUUCAAGCAAGUUCGGACAAGGCCCCAUUUGAAAUUCUGUAUGGCAGGAAGUGUCAUACCCCUCUCAACUGGUCUGAAACCGGUGAACGUCAGCUUUUGGGUAAUGACUUAAUCACA